rnacentral:misc_RNA from 1 species
GAUGAAGAACGUAGCGAAAUGCGAUAAGUAGUGUGAAUUGCAGAAUUCAGUGAAUCAUCGAAUCUUUGAACGCACAUUGCGCCCCUUGGUAUUCCGGGGGGCAUAUCUGUUCGAGCGUCAUUGCUGCCCUCAAGCACGGCUUGUGUGUUGGGCCUCCGUCCUCCUCCCGGGGGACGGGCCCGAAAGGCAGCGGCGGCACCGCGUCCGGUCCUCGAGCGUAUGGGGCUUCGUCACCCGCUCUUGUAGGCCCGGCCGGCGCUUGCCGACACAUCAAUCUUUUUUCCAGGUUGACCUCGGAUCAGGUAGGGAUACCCGCUGAACUUAAGCAUAUCAAUAAGCGGAGGA